rnacentral:lncRNA from 1 species
AAAAAAACGAAAUGUAUGCGUUGGCGCAAGAAUCAGGCCUUUGUCAUACUGGGCGGCGAGACCGAGGCUUUCGCGAGAGGUGGGAUGGGGGAAGGCGAUCAUUCACACAGACUCGAGCCAGUCAAAAUUGUGAAGGUCGCGGGGCCGUGCGGGACGCCCACAGUCGUUGGGGCGGUUGGCAUAGAUAAAGCGCCGGAUGCCAGGGUACGACGCGUUGGCCGCACGCUCUGUGCAGCCUUCAGUGCGAUGCACAUGGAGCCACUCGACAAUAUGGCCAAAAGCAUAGGCAGCGGCGUCGUCCAUGGCGUCGGUCGUGCAGCCCUCGGUGCGGUUCUCGUGCAGCCACUGGACGACUUCCAGAUGGCCCUGCGCGGCGGCGCCAUCCAUCGCAGCGGUCGUGCACCCCUCGGUGCGAUUUUCGUGGAGCCAGCGCACAACCUCUAAAUGGCCCUGUGCGGCGGCGCCAUCCAUGGCGGCGGUCGUGCAACCCUCGGUGCGAUUUUCAUGGAGCCACUGCACAACCGCUAGAUGACCCCUCGCGGCGGCCUUGUCCAUGGCGUCUGUUGUGCAGCCCUCGGUCCGGUUCGCGUGGAGCCAUUGCACAACCUCCAGGUGACCUCGGCCGGCAGCCUUGUCCAUGGCGGCGGUAGUAAACAACGAUGCGUCGAUGGCAUUGUGCAUGCAUUGGAUCACGCAGAGGUGGCCGCCGCGGGCCGCGUGAUUCACCACGGCGGCUUCGUAGGGCACGCCCGCAGUGUCGUGCAGCCACAUAACAAUAUGUGCGUGGCCAGAGCGAGCGGCAUUGCGCAUCGUACUCUUGCCGACGACCUCGGGCUUGUGUCGGUGGAGCCACUUGAGGACAUCGUCUGCACCCAUGCGCGCCAGGGUGUCGCCAAUUGUUGUCAUGCAGCCCUCGACGCCAGACUCAUGCAGCCAUUGCAUGGCGCACAUGUUGGCCUUGGACACGGCGCCCGACCACAGCACGAUGCCCAACUGCUCGCUGCGAAAGAUCGACCGGUCAUGGCGCCACGCCCAGUCGAGCACGUCCGUGGCCCCCUCUGCGCACGCUGACAACAAUAAAUUGUUUAGGGUGCGUGAUCUGAUGUCCAGGCCGAGUCCCUGGGCGCAGACGAAUGCACUCACGGCCUGGUGGCCGUUGAUGUGCGCGAGCAGGGCGGCGCUCUUACGGCAGCCCUCGGUGCGGUUGGCGUACAACCACUGGACCACGUCCAGGUGGCCGUGGGCGGCGGCCAGUGUCAUUGCCGCCUUGGUGCAGCCCUCGGUGCGAUUGGCGUGCAGGUAGAUGACCACGUCCAGGUGACCGGCAGCCGCGGCGUCGUCCAUGGCCGCCACCGUGCACCCCUCGGUGCGAUGUUUGUCGAGAAAGCGCACGGCCCCUAGGUGGCCCGCGGCAGCCGCUGCAUCCAUGGCCUUGGGUGUCGCCGUGUAAAUGUGCCACACACUGGACCUACUGAGCCACGCCAACACGUCGACGUGACCACCACGGGCGGCGCCGUCAAUGGCCGCAGGUCCAGGGAUGAGCGGCGCGCCGUUGGCCUCUAGCCAGAGCAUCAUAUCAAGGCGCCCUGCCAUUGCGGCGACAGCAAUCAGAUCGCCAUACUGUUCGGUCGGUGCGCCGGGCACUUGCGCCGCAGGGACACGGCCUAUGCGGCGCAUGCGACGGCGUGGCGGCACCUUGAGCGAGACGCCAUUGUCGACCAAAAAGCGCAGCACGCCAAGGUGGCCGUGUUCGACGGCAGUCCAUAUACAAUCGGAACCCAUGGGCACACGGCGCUCGGCCAGCACUUUCAGGGCCUCGACCAGGCCCACAGCGCAAAAGGCCUCGGGCGUCUUGCAGCCGCGCCACGGUGCCAGCCUCUUGGCCACGCCGGUCGGGCUGUCGACGUGGAAGCAUCGGUGGGCGGCCCUCGCACGACAAAAAUCGCGAUCACCCAGAUGGGCCAAGACGAGCGCCGCCAGUUCGGCCGGCAGCGUAUCCAUCCGCGAUGAUUGGUCCUUUCUCAAUGUUCUUUUUUUUCUUUUUCUUUUUACGACCCGACGCACGAUUGUUCCUGCCGCGCUCGCCGCACGCCAUCCUCGCGGCCGCCCAGCAGGUGGCCGGCGCGCGGUACCCAUGGAUGCUUGCUGUGGCGUGGGAUCGCGUUUUUUUGUGAUGGGCGCCUAUGCCCGUGCACGCGCCUCUGGUCUGGUCCGUCUGUUUCCUGUCUGCGCGUUUUUUUGCGCUUUUCCUUGUUGAAACAAAAAAAAAGACUUUUUUUCCU